UCUUGUUUUGAAAGCUGCUGGAAUGGCGCUUUUCCUUCUAGCUCUAGGACCUUUUUUUUUUUUUUAUAUGUCAAACAAAUGCAUUACACAUUUCCCAACACACACCAACACAUGGAGAUAUAAGCAGAUACAGAAAGAAAAGAAGAGAGACUAACCUCGAGAGACAGGAGCAGGAGUAGAAAAGCAAGCAAAAGCCAGACUUGUGAUGCUCACCCAUAGGCAGGAAAAACAGAAAACAAUGGAGGCUUUGACAGAUGGAGCUCGGCCGCGGCUCGGCGUUCAACACCACAUAAAGCUUCAUUCACUGUGUUCCUCCACCUGUGAUGCAUCACAUCUCUGCCACCUGACUGGAAACUACCUAUGUGACGUAGACUCAUCAGUGCAAUAA